AACCGGAUUAGAUACCCUGGUAGUCCACGCCGUAAACGAUGUCGACUUGGAGGCUGUUCCCUUGAGGAGUGGCUUCCGGAGCUAACGCGUUAAGUCGACCGCCUGGGGAGUACGGCCGCAAGGUUAAAACUCAAAUGAAUUGACGGGGGCCCGCACAAGCGGUGGAGCAUGUGGUUUAAUUCGAUGCAACGCGAAGAACCUUACCUACUCUUGACAUCCAGAGAAUUUAGCAGAGAUGCUUUAGUGCCUUCGGGAGCUCUGAGACAGGUGCUGCAUGGCUGUCGUCAGCUCGUGUUGUGAAAUGUUGGGUUAAGUCCCGCAACGAGCGCAACCCUUAUCCUUUGUUGCCAGCACGUAAUGGUGGGAACUCAAAGGAGACUGCCGGUGAUAAACCGGAGGAAGGUGGGGAUGACGUCAAGUCAUCAUGGCCCUUACGAGUAGGGCUACACACGUGCUACAAUGGCGCAUACAAAGAGAAGCGACCUCGCGAGAGCAAGCGGACCUCAUAAAGUGCGUCGUAGUCCGGAUUGGAGUCUGCAACUCGACUCCAUGAAGUCGGAAUCGCUAGUAAUCGUAAAUCAGAAUGUUACGGUGAAUACGUUCCCGGGCCUUGUACACACCGCCCGUCACACCAUGGGAGUGGGUUGCAAAAGAAGUAGAUAGCUUAACCUUCGGGAGGGCGUUUACCACUUUGUGAUUCAUGACUGGGGUGAAGUCGUAACAAGGUAACCGUAGGGGAACCUGCGGCUGGAUCACCUCCUU
rnacentral:rRNA from 1 species